rnacentral:lncRNA from 1 species
GGCCUCGUGUAAAAACAAAACUACACCUGCACAACGUUCACCUUACCUUGUAGAAGGUACGACACCUUGUGGUUAAAGAUAGGCAAAGGCGGUGUCUUACUAUAUUACCAAUUACCAAAAAAGAGGAGCCACACACACACACACACGCCUGUUUUUCAGUUGGUACGUUUUAACAAUGUGUACCGGAUUAUAGUAGACAAAACUACCCUCAUUUAUCAUGGAUUCUAAGUUUUAAGGUCAAGGAUAUUUAAAUAAUUUUCAUUCUCAAAACUAAAAAAAAAAAAGAAACCCCCAAACCCUUACUCACCUCCCUCAUUCCUCUCAACCCUUUCUCUUUCAUCUCUCACUCCAACAUAUUUUCUCUGUCCUCCCUAUUGUUGCCCCAAUUGAAAAAAAACCAUUGCCAAAAGUUUAUUCUAAACGCCUGCAGAAGUUGAUUCAGUGCUAAAAAAGGGACAUAAGGAAAUUAAAGAAAUAGGUAUAGAAGAGCUCACCAAGAGUACAAUUCUUUCAAUUCUAGGUUGUAAUCUUACAUCAUGUAUACCAUACCAAAAGAGAGGAAAAAGAAACACUUUGUGUAAAGGGAAAAGGACAAUAGAGGGAAAUAUCUUGUUCUUUAAAAAUAUAAUGAAAUGUGGUGUAGAUGCGUAAAUGAUGUAUGAAAAUUUAAUUGAUUUAUGAAGGUUUUAUUUACAUGAUUUAAUUUAAAAAUGAAAUUUAAUAAUAAUAAUAAUAAGGGAAAAUAUAUAACACAUCCUCCAAAUGAACGAACAGAGCAAGAGCAACCAAUUACGAUGUCGCGGACGGGUUGUUGUGUGUGGCUGAGGGAGAGUAUGGAGACGAGAGAGAAACAAAUUGGAUAAGUGAGGUAGGUGAAUUAGGGUUAGGCAAGGAAUCUGAUUUUUUUUUUUCAAUUGGGGCAACAGUAGCAAUGACAGAGAAAAUGUGUGAGUAAGAGAGAUGAAAGAGAAAGGGUUGAGAGGAAUGAGGGAGGUGAGUAAGGGUUUGAAGGUUUGUUUUUUUUUUUUAGUUUUGGGGAUGAAAAUUAUUUAAAUAUCCUUGACCUUAAAACUUAGAAUCCAUGAUAAAUGAGGGUAUUUUUGUCUACUAUAAUCCGGUACACAUUGNNNNNNNNNNNNNNNNNNNNNNNNNNNNNNNNNNNNNNNNNNNNNNNNNNNNNNNNNNNNNNNNNNNNNNNNNNNNNNNNNNNNNNNNNNNNNNNNNNNNNNNNNNNNNNNNNNNNNNNNNNNNNNNNNNNNNNNNNNNNNNNNNAACAAACCCCAUAUAUAUAUAUAUAUAUAUAUAUAUAUAUAUAUAUAUAUAUAUAUAUAUAUAUAUAUAUAAACUCUAUUUUACAAACAACGCGGAGCUAUAAAUUUAUUUAAAAUCAAAAUUAAGCUCCCCAAAUUAUUAGCUUUUUAUAUUUCCUAGAUUUUUCUUAUUGUUCUUUUAACAACUUUUUUUUUUUUUUUAAACGUUCUCUAUUAUAUUAGUAUUGGAAAUGGUAUUUGUAUUUUCAUUUUUGAGUUAAUGAUUCAUUCUCUUUUGUAAUUUUAUUUAGUAGUGUGUGUUGAAAACAUCGUCUUCCAAGAUGAGGGUUAACCAUCUGUUCAUAGACGUUUUUUAGAUAAUGUUUGAAUUUUCUUAAAUAAAAGAACAAUUUUAAUUAAAAAAAGUAACUAUAAUCCUGUAGUUCUUUUACCCUUUUUCCCCAAGGCAAAAAAGACCUAUUAAGGAUGGGGCAAUUAUUAAAGAAAAACUUCCACCUUCAAAAACAAUGGAUUGGAGUUCAUUGAGACGAACAACAUAGUACAUCUCAACUUCAAUUUCUACUUUUGUCGUUCGGUUGUUUAUAUAUACAAAAUAAUGAAAACAAGAAAAACUAUUUCUCUUCAGGGAAUCACUUAAUAUAUAGUAGUAUGAAAAUGCACGGACGAACCAUGAACACAGCCUAAUUCCAUCCAAUAAUAGUUAAAUCACAAACAUUAGAUAAAAACUGCUUUAAUAUUCUUCAAUCAUAAUUAAAUCCUUUUUAGUGACAUAAUAACAUAUUAAUAUUUAACGGAAUAUUUGUUCUGUAUAUACAAAUUAUAAAAAUAAAAUUUUAAAAUCUAUACGAUUAAUUAAUGUGUUAUGAUAAAGUGUUGGUGUUAUGUCAAACUAUUUAUACCAUAAACAAGUUUCUACCUUCCAGAUCCAUCAUUCUUAAUUUGUUUUAGUGGACUGAUUAAAAAUAUAUAGUUAUUUCAUAUAUAGUUUGUUUACGUGUAAAAAGUCGAAUGUAAAUUAAGAAAAGAUUACUCACAUUAUAUUAGUUCGCAUUAUAUUAGUUGAAAGUUCUAUAUCGAUUUAAAUAAAGUUAUUUUAUAAUAUAUAAUUAAAUAUAAUUUUUAUAAAUUAGUUUUGUAAGUUGAAUAUAAAUUUUAUAAAUUGAUUUUGUAAGAUUGAAUUAGAUUUAAAAUUUAUUUCUUAAUAUAAUAUUAGAAUCAUAUUAAAAUCUAUAUAUUAUAGCAAAAUUUGUUUUAUUAGAUAUAUUGUUUUAUUUAUUAUCAAACUAAAUGUAUUUCACAUCAAUUAUUUUAUUUUAUAAAUUAGUUUUAUAGGAUUGAAUUAUUUUUAAAAUCCAUUCUUAACAUACAAUUAAUAAAAAAUAAACUUUAAUAAGAUUAAUUAUUAAAGCUAUACUUAAUUUUAAUGUAUUAUUUUAACUCCAGAAAUUAUAGGUCUAUGAAGUCAUAUUUAGGUAAUGAAUGUUGCGGUGUCGUAGAGAAAUGGGAAGCAAAACACAAGAAGUUGAGGUAUGAAUUGCAUUGCAUACAUUACGGCACAAAUGAAUGCGACUGAACUUGCAUUGAUAGGCAUUGGGAGCAUCAUCAAUGUAAUCAAAGUCAAGAUCCUUCAUCUCGUGUUACACCUCUUCUUCUACUAUUCUAACUUUUUUUUUUAUUAUUUAUUUUUACGUUUUCUCACUUUCCUUGAUUUUUCUUUCACCAUAAUAAGGGUAUACGACAUUAGAUUAAUUUCUUUUUAAAUUAUGUAUUUUUUUUUUUUAAUUUUAAGUUAAUUAAGUUUUUUAAGUAAGGUAACAAAUAUAAACACUUAUGCAUAUUUCUUGAUAUUAUAUUAAAUGACACCUGUAUCUUCUAGUUUAGAAAACAAACACUUAUUUUUCUUAUACUUUUAGUAAAAUGAAAGUUCACAAAUUUUAAUUUUCUUGAAUAUUUAUGUAUACACCUUUCUCAUGUUUUGAAUAAAUAUCAAUUAUGCUUCUUAUUUUAUUGAUGAUAAUAUUUACUUUUCUUACGUGAAGCUUACCUGUUAUUCUUUGUUGAUAAAAAAUGUUAUUUUGUUUGAAGAAAAUUCUUCAGUUUAUGUAUUUUAAAACAAUAAUUUUAAUUUUCAUAAUUUUUAUGUAAAUUUUAGUGAAUAUGAUAUUUUGAAAUAAAUUAAAGGAAAUAUAUGUUGUUUUAUUGAAAAUAUAUACAAGUGACAUUUAUUAGAAAUAUGAGAGAAGUAAAUAUUUGUUUGGGAGUUAAAAGAAGUUUAUCAUUUUAUUAAAAUUAUAAAAAUAUGAAUGUUUAUUUUAAAAUUAGUGAAGAUGCGAACCAGAUUUAAUAUGAUUUGUCUAACUUGUCUUAAAAGUUUUCUUACGUUAACCAAUUUGAAAUUAUAAGAUAAAAUUUUAAGUAAUUUUUACUAAGGUUAACUGAAAGUAUGCAUUUUAAAUUAUCUUUUCUGGUUAAAUACUUCAUCAAUUAAAUGAAUAUAUUUCUAUAAACAUUUUUUUUAUCUCAAAACGCAGUAAUCCAAAUAUAAAAUUUGUCCAAAAAAAUACAAUAAAGUCUCACUUGUCUAUAUUCAAAUCCUAGUUAAUCUUACUUUCUAUUUGAUCCGUACUAUUAUAUUAAAUUUCAUUUACUCUUUACGAUUUAACUUUGAACUUAUUUAUAUCUAAAUCAAAUGCAAACUUCCAAAUCUUUGGAUAGGAAAAUGUGAAAGUUUUAAAAAUAAGAAUUUGUAAGACGGAUCAAAUUUUUGUAGUCUAAAAAAUGAGGAUUCAAAGUCUACAAAGAUUGAAAUCGUACAUAAUCUCACUAAAAUAAGGUUUACAUGUGAUUUUAAUAAAAUAGACUUUUGGAAUUUUUUAGUUUUUUAAAAUUGAAAACAUUUAACUUUAUUCUUAUUAUUAUAUUAAACUAGUUAAUUAUUUGUGUUUUGUAUAAAUCUCAUUCAACAAAUAUACUAAGUAUCAUUAUUAUUUAAAAAUGAUUAAACAAUAUUUUAAAAGAUAUUUGUUCAUGCAAUUAUUAUAUAUUAACAAAAUAUAAGACCAUGACUAAAUCUUGAUAGUUUGAUUACGUUAUAAUAUCCUUUAAUAUCAUAUAUUAAUAGAAUAUAUGAUUAGUCAAGUAAAAUAUGACAUUAUUAUUAUUAUUAUUAUUAUUAUUAUUAUUANNNNNNNNNNNNNNNNNNNNNNNNNNNNNNNNNNNUUAUUAUUAUUAUUAUUAUUAUUAUUAUUAUUAUUAUUAUUAUUAUUAUUAUUAUUAUUAUUAUUAUUAUUAUUAUUAUUAUUAUUAUUAUUAUGCUAAUUUAGCAUAUAAAUAGUAAGUUAUUAUAUUUUGUUGAUAUUAUUUGAUAUUAUUUUAAUAUUAUCAAUUUUUAUAACAAAUAUUAUAAGGCUAAAAAAUCCUAUAAAUACACAUAAUAUUAUAUAAGAAACAUGAGAGCUAAAGUGAAGAAUUCACUGCUAAAAAAUGUAAGGAAUUUGGCCAUGUUAUAGAAUGUUGUAGUGUUGGUACUACAUAAGAAUGUGGUGCUGAAAUAUUAAUAACUAUGCCAAGUAGUUCAAAAUAUUGAAAGCUGCAAUUCAAGUUACUUUAUGGAAAAGGUCUAACGAUGCCCUCCAAGUUAAAGCAAAAUACCCUCCAUAACAAUGAUUAGGCCAUACCCAAGCAACUUCACUAGGUUGAAUCGCCUUUCUCCCUCUCACUCUUGAGAAUCUUCCUUUUUCGAACUUAACAUUUUCAAACAAAGAGACAAUAGCUUGGCUCUUGAGAGCUUAAUACUAUAACUCAGAGACGAAUAUUUGAUGAAACUCACAAUAAUGAUAACUUACAAAUCAGUCUCAACCAAAACGACCACAAAAUCCUUAAUGUAUGAGAAUGUUGAUAGAUCAACCUUAUACGUAAGGUACAAGAAGAAACUCAAGUGAAAGAGAUGAAGUACAAAUGAUAUGGUUAAGGAUGUUUCAUCAAAUCAAAAGCAUAAAUUUAUGAGGAAAAUUGUAUGAAAAGGUUUGGGAAAAACUCUGUAAAGGAAAGACAUGGUUCUUAAGUUUGUCAAUUGUGACUCACCUCUCUUUCUUGGGAGUCUACUUAGCAAACUUUAAACAAUAUUUCCAUCAAGAAAACAUCGAAAUCACCAUCACAAGAAAAAGGGAGUGACCUACUACUAGAGCUUGAGAAGACAAGAAUUUGAUGAAGACAUGUUAAGUCCCUGGCAAGUGUACCAGAUCAUUAUCAAGUAAUAUAAACUAAUCGCGUAAGACUUGAGAAAAGAAUUAAGUUGAGGUUUGUAUGCAAAGAACAAAAGUAAACAUGCAAAUGCAGUGAUUCAAAUGGCUUAAAGAAACUAUGGAUGAAUGGAGUUGUUGGGGUUUACAAUUUCAUCUUAUCCACCCUCAUAUAUCUACUCUUCUUAUUUAAUUAGCUUAUUUAUCAUAUUGUCAUGCAAACUUUCUUAAUCUACCCUUAACCCAAUCCCUUGGUGAAAAGAGCCUAUUACUAAUUAUCGGCUUGCUAUCCCUAGCCUUCCCUAGUAAUUAAUAAUGCAUGAUAAGCAGAAGCAAAAUACAAUUGAUCGUCCUACCCCUAUCACUAGGCGGUAUUAACAUAAUCACGGAAUUCAACACUAGUUCAUGACAUUAUUGUACGUCCCCAUAUCAAUAAAGACAAACAACAUUUACCGAAUGAGUUAAACGAUAAAAGCAUUAAGCAAAGGUGAAGAACCCAACAAUUGAUAAAUCAAGCAUAUGCANNCAUAUNAAAUNAANAAGAAUUUGGAUAUAUGAGAGUUUCAAAAGAUUACAUUGUUCCCCAACUACCUAGGGUUUAGUUCACCAUAAUCAUGGUGAAACUAGAUGAAAUAUGAUGAAGGAAUGGAAGAAAUAACCCUAAACUUGGUAGAUUGGAGCCUAAGCAUCCAAGGAACCUCCUCCAAGGUGUAUGGAAUAGCUCUGGACAUUUAUCUCUACCAAACGAAUAUGUUUUAAUAUGUACUAGGCCUAUAUAUAAGUCCAAAAAGAUAACAGAAAGAUUACAGAAUCUAGCUAAUAAAAACAAACAAUCGCCCAGGUGCCUAAGUUCACCACUCAGCGGUUUUCCUCUAGCCGCUUUGACCGCUCAGCGAUCAGUUUUGCUAUUGAGCGGUUUGUCAUUGAUCGCUCUGGGCGCUCAACGGUCCAUUCUGGCACUCAGCGGUUCACUUGACCCUUCUUUUCAGCCUUUUUCCUCUUCUUUCACGGGUCUAAGUCAACCUUACUUCACUUCCAUCUUUUAUUCACCUUAAAACCCUGCACAACAAUGUAAAAACAAGCAUAAUAUCUCUAAAACCAACUUUUGACUCUCACAAGACUCAACUAAGUGUUUUGCUUAUUUUUAAGCUCAUUCUAAGCCAUAAAAGGUGUGUUUUAAUAUCAAAUUUAAGUAUGAAAAUAACGGUUUUUAGACCGUUAUCACAACCUCAAAUUUAGAACUUUACUUGUCCUCAAGCAAACAAGACAAAACUUGGCUUUCCAUUUCUUCAUCAAAUAAUUUACACUUUUCAGAAUUCCUUUUUCUCAUGACCAGUUAUUAUACAAUUCAGAUUUCAGUAGAAUCCUAUAAAGAUGCAUGCAUGCUUUCAAUCCAAUUCAGUUCAUAUAAUCAAUCUUUUUUUCCAACAGAUGUUUUGUUCAUGAAUGAUCAAUCAACUAAGCAUAAAUGUAAACAUGGAUUUAACAAUUCUCACUAAGCAAGUGUUUCACUCAAUCACUCAAGUGUUUCGGAGGUCACUCUACUCUCUACUGUUCACAUGUCACAUAAAUCAAUAUUGCCAUUUAUCUAAAACAAUCAAAAUCUUCACAUGCAAAUGUCAUCACAAGGACUUUUUCCAAGGCUUGUAAUGUGGCUAGGCUAUCAAGAAAAUUGGUUUUUCUGGAAUAUAAAAUCCUUGAAUUAAGAGAGUUUAAAUCAUCAUUCAAAGUUCAAGCAUACUCUCUUUUUAACCAAUCUCACUCAUUCCCAACUUCUUCCCUUUUUCCUUUUACAUUGAGUUCACUUUACAUGCUUUUUCUCUUUUCUUCUUUUCUUUUUUUUAUCAUGCAUUUUUCUUUUUUUCAUCUUUUGAACUCAAUGUUUUUCUUUUGACUUUCACUUUCCCCAUAUAACCCCAAACUUGAACAUUUUCAACACAUACAAAUAUUCUCAACCCAACUCAAGGUAAUUCAAUUCAAACAAGGGUUUUCAUAUUGUUUCAGGCCAUGGUUCAAAAAGGAUAUAUCAUUUAAAAUUCUUCGGGUGAAAAUUUGGCUAAGUAAGGGCUUUCCAAGCAUGGCCUUGAUCAUAUGACAUACACAUGCAAUUCAAUCAAUUAUCAAGAUUAAGUCAAUAUCUUUCAUGAUUCCAUGUGAACAAUGCACACAUCAAUAAAAACUCUGAAGCUCAAUACCUCACACAAAUGCUUUCUCACUUCUCAUUCAUGAAUCCUGCUUAGCAUCACAAUCACAAUCAUAAACCACUUACACAUUUGUUCACACAUUUAGUGAAACAUUAACCUGACAAUCAACAUUCACACAUUCUCAAUCAUCAUCCACAAUCAAUCAUCAAUAGUAAAUAACUCAUCAUGCAAUAAAAUUGAACCAUCAUCAGAAUCAGUGUACAAGCCAAGCAUAGACGCAAGAAUAAAACCUAUACUACUAAUUCAAAGUACAAGAGAAAAAGAAACAAAAAUCUCUGUCCAAAUGUUGCAUCCAUCAGUAGAUGCCCUCAACACAAAUCAUCAUCUGAGUCAUACUCAUCCUCAUCCUGGGCAUCCUCAAAGUCCUCAUCCUCCUGGUCAUCAUCCUGUCCACCUGAGGCUCCAGCUGCUCUAGACCUACUACCAUGUGCCUGCCCUUGAGGCCAAGCCAUUGCACUAUGGAACUCGUCCAUAGUCCACCUGUGCACUGGUGGCUGAUCAUAUAGUCCUACAAUCAUCUCGGCAGUGGCCACCUGCCCUCUGCGAAGGGACUCCAUCCUUGCCUCCAUCAUGGACAGGUACAUGUCCCUCAUCUGAAAAGGCUCAGGCUGUUGUGCUGGUGCAUCUGCAGGCUCAUCCUCCUGCUGUGCUGCUGCCCUCAUAGGACGUCUCCUAGGAACUGCUUCAGCCGGCUCAUCACCUCCACAGUACUAACGAUAGUAGGAGGCAUCAAUAGCCCUCCUCGGCCUCUCAAAGGGUGGAACUGCAGUGUCCACUCUUGCCUGCUGGCACAAGUAUGUAAUUAGGGACGUGAUGUCCUAGUGGUGUCCUACUGCUCACAAUGUUGGCGCAACUCAGAAUUUCGCUGGUAAUAAUCUUACCAACGUCCACGUCCAUCUGCCUCAGCAUACAAUAGAUGAUCAGAAUCCGAUGCAAUAUGAUGUUAGAAAAAUGAGAGCAUGAUUGUAUGUUGGCAUGAGUAAAUGUCAUCCAGUACUUGGCUAGGGGAGCCAAAUCUGCCCUAAGGAUGUUAACUGGUGCUCCAUUAGAGUUUCUCUGAAAAUUCCUCCCAAGGAUACACAUCACUCUUUCAAUAUCUUCAAAAACCCCAGGCCUCCCCUAGUAUAGCAUCAUACCUGCACUGUUCUCCUGGCCACUCAAUUCCUAAGAAGGCGUUAAUGGUGUCGGGGUCAUAGCUGAUCAAAUGCCCCCUCACAUAACUCAUGUACCUCCCAGCUGAUAUUCCUCCCCUAGGCAAGGCGUUGGCAUAGAACUCCUUCACCAACUCAAUACUGGCUGGUGUUGGAUAUGUAGUCAGUCUCUCCUAGCCUCGCCUUUUAAUCUCCAAACCAAACUCUAGAGCUAAGUCAGGAAUGUACAUGGCCUUCCUCUCCAUUAGCAAAUGCCUCUCUUGGACAGUAGCAUAAUGCUUUUCAUGCUUCCUUGAGAGGAACCUCGAAGAAUAGAAUCUCCUAGGUCUCUCUGGCUCCUUCCUUUUUUUGCCCAUAGUUUUAACUCUUCUUAACGUAGACAUUUCUGUAUUAAAUAAAUCCAACAAUAUUCACAUAAACAUCAUUAGAGGUUAGUACAUCAUCAAUUUUAUAACUCAGAUCACACAUAAUCCAGUUUUGAAGGAAAACAGGGCCCCUCAGCAUCCAAACAUCCAAAAAUUUCAAUCAUUUAGGCAAAUCUGCUGCAGACCGCUCAACUUUCAUGAAGACCGCCCAGGCGGUUUGCCUCCAGUCGCGCCACCGCUCAACGCCAAAACAGACCGCUCAGUGGCGGCGGCUAGGUUUUCCUAAAAACUCUUCCUAAAUGGUCCUAAUCUCCACUCUUUUGCUACUUUCAUCAAUCCAGACCAAAAUCAUGCAACUCAAUCGGUUCAAACAGUUCCUAUUUCAUUAAUUCAUGCAUAGAAAUCAAAAGCCCCAAUUUAUCAUGUUCCUAAGCAUGUUCAUCAACAAAUCCCAAAAUAGAAACCCUAAACAUGAAUUUGCAUACUUACUUGAGUGGAGACUUCAAAUGCUUGGAGAAAAAUUGCUCAAUUGAUGAUGAAUGUCCUCUCCAAUGCAAAACCCUCAACCAAAAACCCCAAACUUUGACAAAGCAAUGGUAGAAAAUUAAUUUUUUGGUGAAUGAGUGAUGAGAAAGUGAGGAAAUCUUUCUAAAAAGCUCUUGAAGUGAAAGGAGAGUGUUAGGGCUUAGGGAGACCGCUCAGGCGAAAUGCAAAGAAGAGUUUCAAAGUGAAGAACUUCAAAAAACCGCUCAGCUUUUAAGAAAAGCCGAGAUUCAUAGCGCUGCAACCGCUCAGCGGUAAAAUGGACCGCUCAGCGGUCUGCAGUAUUUUUCACUUCUUCUUCUUUGCUUUCUUUUGAGUAAUCUUACCUUAUAGCACUCAGUUUCAACCUUCAAUUUUUCAUUUAUAUGACUUUCCCCUCUCAGAUGCAACAAUUAAACAUGCAAUGUACAGGAUUAAAAACAAUACAAUCAACUGGGUUGCCUCCCAGGUAGCGCUUAUUUAACGUCACGAGCCUGACCCAAACCUGCUUAGCACUCAUUAGUAAGUGCUUAUCCUUCCAACACCCUUUAGUAGGUAUACUUACCUUGCAUCCUUCAGUGGAUACAUAAAAGUUUUAGCAUUCCUCAGUAGAUGUUACCCAAAAAGUGUUCAAAAAUUGAAUAAAUUACAUGUCCAAAAUCAAAUAAACCUAAAACUACAAAUGUUUUAUACAAGGUGGGAUUAAAUAUAAUCAAGUCGUUCCAUCCCGGUUGGGGUCUUCAUCUACCCAACUCAUCAGUUGCCUUUUAUCCACUCUUCUGAUGGCUUUAGUAUAUGGUCUUCUUAUCUCCACUCUGCCAUCUUCUUUGAUCUUGUUAACAAUCCACUUCUGAUUUUUAAAUCUUAUCUGUGAUCCUCUUGGAAGUGACGUAUCUUCAGAGCGAAUUCUUUCUCCUUUAUCAACCUCCUCCUCUUUAGGUACCUGUAAAACAUUACAACUGUUAGAAUCAAUACCUAUUAUGCUUUCAUCUGAUGCAGCUUCCCUUCUUGUCUCUUUGAAUCUGACUCUCUUCUUCAUUUUCACUUUCUUUCCUUUAGAACAAUUAUACAUUAACACGUAUUCUUGAUCUUUCAAAGUUAUUACCCCAUCAUGGAUACGCAUCGCCAUUCUGGAAAAUUUUUUUAAAAAAUUGAAAGUUCAAGGUCAAACACUCUUAAUUGAAACUUUUUAAGAAUCUUUAAUUUUUAAAAAAAUUUCUUUUUAUUUAAAAUUUAAUAAUUAUUAAUUCUAAUAUUAUUUAUAGUAUUUUUAAACAACUUUUUUAAUAUUUAUUAUUGUUACUUUUAUUUUAAUUACUUUUGCUUUUUAUUUUUUUAAUAUAAUUAUUAUAAUAGCAUAAAUUAUAUUAUAAUAAUUAUUUAGAUAUAACCGUAUGUUAAAUAAUAUUAAAAUUUUAAAUUAAAUUAUAUUAUUAUUAUAUUUUAAAUUUAAAAGAUUUAUGAAAAAGAAAAUUUUGAAAUCUAUUAAAGGAAUACAGAAUAACUUCAAUAAGAAAGAGAAAAACUUAUAGGAGUGUAGGGUGAUUUUAUUAGAAAAGAGAAAAAAUUAAAAAAAUAUUAAUUAAAGUUAAAAUUGUGAUUUUUGAAAAUAUAAAAUGAGAAAUUGGAAGUGUAGGAUGAAACAUCAAAAGAAUAAACAGAAAAGAAUUGGACCUUAACGUCAUUAUCACAUUUAUAAACUUGUAAAUAAGUAGAUGAUUAAUAUGAUCAGUCAAACUUUUCAAAUUGAUGAAAAAAUUAAGGCCAACUUCAAGUAUUUACUGAGCAUUCUCUAAUUAACUAAGUAAUAACUCAAAUAUCUACUAGCUAUAUCCACUCUAGUCUUGUAUUUUUACUUGUUAUAACUUUAUUUGACAUCACAGAUAAAUAAAGAAAGAAAACAAAAAAAAAAAAUGGAUAUCGUGAUAAUACCUUUUUACACAAUGAAUAUGGUUCAAAUCUUAAAACUUGUAUCAGUUUGUUUUAUUCGGGAUAAAUUUCACUUAUGUAAUGUAUAAAGAAAUUUACUUUACCAAAAUUAAAGACAAAUAAAUGAAUAACGUUCAAGUUUUAUAUUUUUGGCACGAACUUACUUCACGUUUUAGACCUAACCAAUCUAAUUAAACCCGACCAAGCUAAUUAACCCAUGUUACAUUCUAAACGAAUGAAUUUCUCUUUGAAGAAAUGUAUAAGUUUAAAUACUAUACAUAUAAUUACGAGAAAAAUUUUAAUUAUGAUGUUAUUGAUGAUAUUACCACCAACCUGUUUUAUUUGGUGUUUGAGGUUUUAGUACAAAAUUAAGAAACUAAUUAAUAUAUAUAUAUAUAUAUAUAUAUAUAUAUAUAUAUAUAUAUAUGAUUUGUUAAUAUAUAUAAGCUGUUCUUUUUCAAUUGAUACAUUUUAGUAAAGUGUAUCAAGUUUUAAUAAAAAAAAAUCUCAUUCAUAAAAAAAGACAUAUACAGGAUUAUUUUAAUAAUUUUUAUUUUUAAUUUAAAAUAAAAAAUAAAAAAAAUUGAGAAACGUUCACCUAAUCCUAACUCACCUUCCUCAUUUAUCCAAUUUGUUUCUCUCUCAUCUUCAUCCUCUCGCUCAUCUUCAUCCUUUGAAAAACACUUUAGACCAAUUACCAAUUCCUUCAUAUGUCAUUGUCAUUAUACUUGUGAAAAUUUAGAGAAAAGGUCAACCUAAAAAUAUAAUAAUAAAAUAAAAUAAACAUGAGUAACACCAGUAAUGACUCUUCUCAUCCCUUUAAAGUAUAAUGAUUUUCUCUUUCCUAAUAAAGUCACUCUGCACCCCUUUAAGUUUUUCUCUUUCUUAUUAAAGUCACUUUGUAUCCCUUUAAUAGAUUUCAAAAUCUUCUUUUCAUAAAUUUUUUAAAUUUAAAAUUUAAUAAUAUUAUUUUUGAAAUGUACCAAUUUUAAUAAACCCACAUGAUCAUAUUAAUCAUGUACUUAUUUACAAGUUUAUAAUUAUGACAAUGGGCCUUAAGGUCCAAUUUCUUUCUCUUCAGCCUUUUGAGUGUUUCAUUCUACAUCUCCAAUUUCUCAUCUUGUAUCUCCAAAAAUUACAAUUUUAACCUCAAUUAAUAUUUUUUUAUUUUUUCUCUUUCUUAAUAAAGUCACUCUGCACCUUCUAAAUUUCUUUCUUAUUAAAGUCACUUUGUAUCCCUUUAAUAGAUUUCAAAAUCUUCUUUUCAUAAAUUUUUUAAAUUUAAAAUAUAAUAAUAUUAUUUCUAAAAUGUACCAAUUUUCAAAAAAAUCCCUUUAAUAAAUCAACAUGAUUUUAACUUAAAGCAUAUCAAUUAUUUCAUUAUUCAAAUGUUAAGCAAAGCCUAUAAAGGAAACCACCAAACAAGGGAGGCCACAUAAUAGUCAAAGAUAAACUACUGCUUCUAAAAUUUAAAAACGAAAUUUAAUAACAAUCAAAAGGGAAGAGAUAUAACAUAACUCUCCAAUAAAAAAUCAACAUCAACAUCAUCAAUUAAUUUAUUAUUAAAGUGGCAGCAAUCUAAGAAAUCUAGAUCAUGAUUAUGGAAAUGAAAGUUCUGAGCCAAGUUCUUCAUUACAACAAAACACCAACAAUCAGCAAAAAAAAAGUUCACCAAUCACAGAGAAGUGCUCCUCAAUGCAGAACAACGCAACGGAUCUUGAGAGGAUGAAUGGAGUCCGGAUGCACAAUAUGUGUUUGAUAGAAUGCACGAGGUGUUUGGUGAUGGUAUGGAAGUAGAAUUCUAACUCAAUAGGCUUUCCAAAGGGGAAAGGAGCUAGAGGAAGUGCAAGAUAAGAAGGCACAAGGUUGAAAUCGAGAGUUAUGGUUGUAAUUCAAUAGCAUGACAUUAACUAAACUCAAGUUGAUGUGUACAAGUGAUGAAGCUCUCUUUUAUAGGAGAAGAAGAAGGUGUUUAUUUUUAGAAGAAGAAGGUUUUUAAUAUGCAAUACUCCAUAAGAGUAAAGUUGUGAGUACUCCCUCUUCUUCUUGUAUUUUCUUUGACAUGGCUCUUGUCAUAGGUCCUAUGUUGAGCUUGGAUGGUCCUCCAUCAGUCCGUCCCUCUUGAAAAGGAUCUGUCCUCAAAUCUGGGCAAUCCUGUUAGGCAUCCCCUAUGAAAGGAAUUAAAUCACAUAUGUUAAAAGUAGGACUAACACCAUAACUUUCAAAAAGGUCUAGUUGAUAUGCAUUGUCAUUUAUUUUCUUGACCACUUGGAAAGGACCAUCACCUCUUGAGCUAAGUUUGGAUUUACGUUGAGAGGGAAAUCUAUCCUUUCUCAAGUGAAGCCAAACCAAGUCUCCUUCUUAAGAUUUACUUGUUUUCUCCCUUUGUUGUUAUAGUCAGAAUAUUUUUUAGUUUGCUUUUCAAUAUCUGUCUUAACCUUUUCAUGCAACUUUUUGAUAAACUCCACUUUAGAAAUACCUUCUUUAUGAAGAAAAGAAGAUGAUUCCGGAAGAGGAAGUAGAUCAAGAGGUGUGAGAGGGUUAAAACCAUAAACAACCUCAAAAGGAGAAAGUUUAGUAGUCUUGUGAACUACUCUAUUAUAAGCAAAAUCUAUGUGAGGUAGAUGAUCAUCCCAAUUUUUAAAAUGAGACUCUCUUGACAAAAGUACAUUUGUCAAAGUUGGCAAAUAAGUGGUGUUGUCAAAGUAAAAUCAAAACUUUCCUCACAUGGUGAAGAUGUUCUUUAAGACAUUUGUUGUAUAUUAAGAUAUCAUCGAAGUAGACUACAAAAACGGUGCCUAUGUACUCCAGAAGGACGUGAUUCAUUAGUCGCAUGAAGGUACUAGGAGCAUUGGUUAAGCCAAAAGGCAUGACUAGUCAUUCAUAUAGGCCAAAUUUGGUCUUAAAAGCGGUUUUCCAUUCAUCGCCUUCUUUAAUUCGGAUUUGGUGAUAUCCGCUUUUAAGAUCAAUUUUGGUAAACAUGUUUGCUCCAUGUAGCUCAUCUAACAUGUCAUCCAAUUGAGAAAUAGGGUGCCUAUACUUGACAGUAAUGUUGUUGAUAACCCUACAAUCUGUACACAUUCUCCAAGACACAUCUUUCUUUGGGACUAACAACACUAGCACCGCAUAAGGACUAAGGCUUUUUUGUAUCCACCCCUUUUCUAAUAAAUCAUUGACUUGUUUCUCUAUUUCUUUGGUUUCUGUGGGGUUAGUCCUAUAAGUUGGCCUAUUGGGAAGGCUAGCCCUAGGAAUUAAGUCAAUUUGAUGUUCAAUUCCUCUAAGAGGUGGUAAACCACUUGGAACCUCUUUAGGAAAUAAAUCAUCAAAUUCUUUCAAAAGCUUUUGUAACCCCUUUGGGAGAGAAUCAAGCUGAUAAUUUAUGGAGACAAGUGCCUCUUUGCAGUAGAGAAGAAAGUGAGGUUGUCCAAGAAAAAGAUUUUUAGAAUGCUUUGGUUGGACAACUUCAUUGGUCGAGGCACAUCCUACCAAACUCAAGUUCUUCUCUUUUGGAACUUUUUUAUUUUGAAGUUUUUUCUCGCCAUCCAUUUGUUUCUGAAGUAUUAUUUGAUCCUCUCACACUUGUGAUGGUGUAAGAGGGCUCAAGAUAAUCUCUUUGCCUUUGUGUUGGAUGGGGAUUUUAUUUGUGACCCCAUCAUGCAAAGCUUGUUUAUCAAAUUGCUAGGGUUGCCUAAGUAAUAUGUGGCCCGCUUCCAUUGGAACAAUAUCAUAAAUAAUUUGAUCUUCAUACUUGCCAAUGGAAAUGGGUACACUUACUUGUUCCUUAACUACAAUCUCUUCAUCCUCUUUUAUCCAUUGAAGUUUGUAAGGGUUAGGAUGAGGAGUAGAAGUUAAGCCUAGCUUUUCCACCAUUCUAGAGCUACAAUAAUUACAACAAGAACCACUAUCCACAAUCAUAGAACAAGUCUUAUCAAAAACUUUGCAGCGUGUGUAGAAGAGGUUUCCUCAUUGCGUUUGUUCUAACUCAACAUGCUUUGCUUCGAGGAGUCUUCUGACCAUGAGGAGAUCUCCAUCACAGGGUGGAGUCUCAUGUUCUUCCUCAGAUGAAGACAACUCAUACUCACUUGAGGUUGAUACCUCACUAUAAGAAAAAUCUCUGUUACAUACCGCCAAAAUCCGUAUAUAACCUUCAAAAUCCGUAUAUAAAAUGAUGUUAUAUACGGAUUACAUACGGCCAAAAAUCCGUAUAUAAUAGGGGUGUAAGUAAGGUUAUAUACGGAUUAUCCGUAUAUAAAUUACAUACGGAUAAUCCGUGUAUAAAUUACAUACGGAUUAUCCGUAUCUAAAUUACAUACGGAUAAUUUGUAUAUAAAUUACAUACGGAUUAUCCGUAUGUAAUAUCCGUAUAUAGGUUAUAUACGGAUAAUCCGUACAUAAUAUCCGUAUAUAAAAUCCAUAUAAUUAUAUACGAAAAAAUCCGUAUAUAAUAUCUGUAUAUAAUUUACAUACGGAAAAUCCGUAUGUAACACUAUAGCUUUAUAAAAAAAAAUUAAAUAAUCUCAUAUUUAUAUCCCAUAACUAGAAAUUUUAUAUAUUUGAUAAGAGACAAACCGAACUUUCGAAUUAAUAAUACAUAUAUGCAAUAUAUAAUAAAUACACAAAAAUGAAUGUGCACAACCAGCCAACUCUAAAAGGAAACCUUUAGGACACAUAUUAACAACCGUGUUCAAUCAUAAAGAGUUAAUAUCACAUGUAAGAAUGGUCCAUCUUUCUUUUAGUUUAGCAUAAAAAUGUAGUGUGAUUGAAUACACAUUAUGUAAUCUAGAUACAGUAGAUAACAUUUUUUUUUGAAACAAAUCAACUUACAACAGUGCAACGUAUCUUUGGAGAAUACUAAAGCAACCUUGACACCCGAUCCACAACUUCAAGUGGCAUUCUCUUGUGAAAAACCUACAAGAAUUUUUCAGUCAGGUUUGAAUGGAAGUACUCAUCAUUUAUGGAUUACAUUGUACUUUAGCAGGCAAUAGUGAAGAAAAUUUUUUAACCUUGUGCCAUGGAUGAACUUUAAUUUGAGGAAUCUUAAAUUCAUUGUAGUUGGGAGUCAUGCACCUUAUUUCUUCUAUGGCUAGAGUUCCCAAGAUCUAUUGAAGUAUAAAAUAAAAGCUGAGAUUGAAGAAAGAAAUAGAUAGAAUUAAAACCAUACAUCUAUUUUUGUACGAGUUAUUUUUAAUAUUCCAAAAUUACAUUUUCUUUUCUUAAGUUUAUCUUUUAAAAGUGUUUGGUAAUAUUCCAAAACAUAAUAGUGUAAAAAAUUACACCGAUAAUCAGUAAAACAAUAUAAUUUUUAAAAUGAUGAUUGUAAUUUCAGAAACAUUAAUUCAUUCUUUCUUAGCUUUUAACUAAAAUGACUGCUAGUUAAUAAACAUUAAUUACCUAACUGCAAUUUCAGAAACAUUAAUUCAAAAAGCCUUUUCUUUUUUAUAUCAGAACAAUGCACCAUAUCAACUAUAUAUAGAUAAUGACUAUCCUAAAGAAAACAUUAGUAAAUAUGAAUCUAUAACUCAUAAUUAUAAAUUGAUAUCUCACAAACUAGAUUUUCAAACGAGCUUCAAUGAAACAAAGUGCAAUCUCUGCAAAGGAUUUUAUGAAAAUUAGUGGUAUUCUAUCUAAAUGUCAGCAACCAAUUGUCUAUCAACCAGUAAACACAAUGCCAACAGGCUUGAAGUGCCUCAAACUUAAUUUCACGCAUACAAGUAAACAUUUGAAUCAGAGUAUAACAAAUAUAUAAUUGUUUUCUCAUGGUCAGAAUCACACAUCCAACACCUAAACAUCACAACAACUUCCAUAUAUAAAGUAAAAGAUAUAUCUAUACAUAAAACCAAUAAUUGAAUCACCAUAAACUAACCCAUGUCAGAACCAGAUUUUCUACCACAUCAAUUGUCAUAUAUUAAUUCCAUUACCACCUGACUUAUUUGUUUUUGAAGAGUUUUGGCAAAUUGAAACACAACAAAUACACACCCAUCGUCACACAUAUGUUCAGUGGUUUAAUUUAGUUAUUCAGGCUCAAUUAAGAAGUGGUUAUCCUAACCCAUUCUUUUUUCGAUAAAUGUAUUACAAAAGGUUAGAAUUAAAGUAAUAACACCUAACACUAGACGUAAUAGCAAAAGGAACAAAUACUAAAUAAAAAUGGAGAACAAACCUGGGCAACCCAAUCAAAACUUUCUAUAAAUUCAGAGACCAAAAUAAAGAUCUCUUCUUAUGCGAAUAUCUUUUUCAUAUGAUCAGUUCUCACCUGCAAUUUAUUUUGAAAACUUUAGGCCUUUAGUUAAAAUGUAGGAUGAAUAAAUAAUGGAACAACAAUACUUAUUUAAUAAAUCUAAAUUUCUUAUGUAAGCCAUUUUCAGAUGCAUUUGACAAUGCUUUAAUAACAAUAGACUCUAGUGAAAGUAAUGAGAACAGUAAUAAAUUAAAUUUAAAAUAAUCUUCAAAAGCUUUAUUCUUGAAAUUUUUCAUAACUUACAAGAGAAUAUGGUCUUACAAAUCCUCUGACAGCACCAAUUACUUCACAACCCUUCUUAACUAUUUCUAGUUUUUCCUGCAUCAAAACUAACUAGUUAUGUAACAUGAAUCAAAUUAGAUACAUUAUAGUUAUAUAUACUAUGUGUCAAAUGAUAUGAAAGAUGUUCAACCUACAAGCAUCUCUGAUUUUACAUGAUUUCAAAUAAUAUUAAGUAUCACAACAUGUCAAGAUUACAGUAGCAAUGACAAUUUAGAACCUCAUUUAGUAUAAAAACAGAUCAAGUUUUAAAUAGCUGAUUUGAAAGAAAAAAAGAAAUAUAAUUAAUAGUUUUAAGAAAUUAAUUGAAAGAUUCUACACUUAACUCAUUAAAGUAAUAGAAAUUUAUUAUGUGUCACUUUUUCUAUGAGUCUAUUCAUCACUUUAUAAUUUUGCAAAACUUCUCUCUUCACUAAUAGUCCAUACGCUUUAUCCCAAAAAAUAGGUCCUUACCACUUUACAAUAAUGUAACAAAUGAAUGAUGUCUAUAUGAAGAUAUAUAAAGAUGCCUAAAGAGAUGCUUAAGCAAAAUAGUAACCAACCCAUAUGCCUCUGAGAGGUUUCAAAGUAGUUAUGUUAUACUUAUGUUCCUGCAAACUCUUGGUAGGUACUGGUGACGAUGAAAUCAGUGUUAUUCAUGGCUAUUAAAUCAACAGUGAAUUGACAUUCGAAAGACAAAGUAAGAUAAGAAAGAAGAGGGAAAUAACUUGUGUAACUCCCAUUUUAUAAGCCAAUAAAGACGCAACAAGAUUUCCAUCACUCUAAUUUCCAAUGAUGAAGUCAGGAUAACCUUGUAACUCAACAACACUGGCAACGUCCUGUUGACAUACUCAGCCAUCAAUACUAAAUGGAAAUUAUACAAAUCUAAAUUAAGGUAAGAAAUUGCUUACAUCCUAAUAAUGAUUCAUGGGCAAGUGAACAAUUCAAAUUACCUCUAAAUAAGUCCCUAGAUAAGGCCACACAUAAUAUAAUUGAAAAAAUACCAUACAUCUACUUAAUCAUUUAUUAAAUUAUAUAAUUGAAAAAAUUUAAUCCUUUUCAGAUAAAGCCUAUAUUUCUGUAGCCAUAUAAAGAUAUAGUGAGAUUCCCUUUAUGAAAUGGUUUAUGUUCCAUUAAAUUGAAGAAAAAAGUUCACAAAAAUGCCUAAAGGUGGUGGGCUACAUUCUCCCUUGUAAUCUUUUCAACAUUCAUUAAGUCAAGAACCUUUUUAGGCACAGGUUCUGCAGAAAAAUUUGUUAACAAUAAAACGGUUUAAGGACCUCAACAUUUCAUUGCUAUCACCUACUCAAAUAAUCAUGAGAAGCUUGUUAAAAAAAAUUCAAGAAAAGAACAUAGAAGAAAAUUUAAGAAAGUGAGUCACAUUAUAACAAAAUAAAAUUCUAAACCAAAUAAAAACAACAUAUUACACCAGGUUAGGAAUCAUUGAGUAUAUAAUACAAGGCAACCAUGGAUAUGUACUUCAUUGGAAGUAAUUAUUUUCAUUGAUCCAUCCCUUCAAUUAAAACUUUUGUCACAACAAAAAAUGUUCAAAAAUAUAAGGAUUGUAUUUCAGUAAGCAUUUAAUCACAGUGUUGUUUACAGGUGUUACUAAUUAUUAUUUUUUGUUAAUUUUAGGAAACUUAACUAGAAAACAAUUUCAAACUAAGACAUUCAACCUGUCUAAGAGAUGCUUUCAGUUUCAAUAUAGUUCAGCUUCUGAAAUCAUAGUACAACAAUGCAAAAUAUAAUUUGCAUAAGGGUUAAUUGGCUAAAACAAUGUAUAAAGAACAAACUUGCUCUAUAUCAGCAAGUAGAAUGUCAGUUGUAGCAUGUGGGGACUCCAAAAAUUCCAACAACUUUGCAGACAGCUCAUCCUAAAAGUAAUGUCAUUUAAUAAUUUAAUUUUAAAAAGUACCAAGAUUCUCUUCUAAAAUGGAAAUAAACUAUAACAAUACUUAAUUUUAAAAAGUACCGACAUUCUCUUCUAACAUAUGCAGAUUUCUAAUAAUUCUAAAGUAAACACAAUGCUAUCAUAGAUCAAUUCAAUCAUACCAUUUUAAGAAAGGGUGUGAAAGAGGAAGCUUGUCAAGCAAUUGCUAGGCUUGUUCAACAACAAUGCCAUACCUUUUAAUUAGUGGCAUGUUUGAUUUGGUUUGAAGGCAUGGCCUUGGAUAUAAACCUCCAUACUAUCAUAGAUUAGAGUCAAAUAUUUGCACGGGAAAGUGAACAGAGACCAGAGAAGUUAUCUUUUAGGAAGCAAUUGAAAUUGAAGUGCCAUGAACAAAAUCCCAAUCCUAGCCAAAAUCAAGUUCUAGCAAGAUUUGGUGUUUAUUUUUUAUUGUUAUUAUGCUAAUAUACUUUAUAGUUAAUAUGCUAUUAUGCACUGCGAUUGAAAUUGAAGUGCCAAGAACAAAAUCCCAAUCCUAGCCAAAAUCAAGUUCUAGCAAGAUUUGGUGUUUAUUUUUUAUUUUUAUUAUGCUAAUAUACUUUAUACUUAAUAAAACAAAUACCUGUGUGUUGUGUCAAUAUUAAAAAAAAUUAUAUAAACCUAUUAUUACCAAUAAAAAUACUGCUAAAUUUUAAAAACAUAAACUACUGAAACUCGUCUCUACUCUUGUACUAUUUCCAGAUUAAUUUUCACUAGCCCAUUUCAAGAAAAGCUACAUGAAACUUCCAUUUGUUCAUCACUACAUUAUAAAUCUGUGCAAGUGAUAAAGUUGUCUUGGUUGACUAGAUAGUUAGAUCUACCAGGACAAUCAGAAAAUAACUAAUGGAAGAUAAAUAACCAUGAUGCAAGUUCUAGCAAAAUUCAAAGAUACAGUUGUUGCAAAUCUUACCGACUAAUUCCAGAGCACAGACAAUGAUUAUCUUUGAAGUGAACUUAGGAAAAACCUCAUUUGCCAAAACUGCCAGAUAGAGCAAAGACAUUACAAAUCGUCCUAAUCUUUAGGAAUGAAACCGUAAACCAAACUAUAGGUAAGUUAUAAAACGACCAACUCACAUUUAACUUAAAAUACUCAUCAUCUCUUACCUCCCACAACCAUUGGGACUAAAACAACCUGAAAGGUACUAACUGCCAGACCCUGCAUCAUAAUUACUAAGAGGAAGAUUGUUGGUGGUGGUAGGCAAGGUGGAUCAAGUCAUAAUCUUAUGAAGUUUUCGACUGUUAUAUUCUCUAGUAGAAAGAGUUGCAACCAGAUUAUUAGCUAUAAUUUUGGCCGAGUGUAAUGCUUGAUUCAACUAGUUCACACGGAUUUUGGGCCAUAGUGUUAUAGAGGAUGCUUCUGUAAUUUGUUGGAUGCUGAUGGCAAAACGAAUCCAUUUAGGGUUAUGUAAUGAAUAAUAAAUAGGUAAACUCCCACCCCAUCAAAAUGCUUUCGGAAAAUGCUUUCAGUAAAAAGAGGGAUUGAUUCGCUUUUGGAAAAAAUUUCCAAAAACAAAACUUCUAAAAUUAUUUUACUGUGUUUUGGAAAAUAAAUUUCGAAGGUGGUAGGGGUAACAUAAUAAAGCUUGUUUAACUUUGAGGCAUUACUGUGAUUGGUAGGGGUAACAUAAUAAAGCGCCUUUUGCUGCUAUCACAGAAUCCCUUCUUUUAACAAUCCCCUCUCUUCGUUUCAAAACUCAGUCAAAUAUUAAAUGGUUAAACAUUAAAAGUAAACAUAUCUACUAGCAAAAAAUCAAACAACCGUCAUCCAUCUGGUGAAAGACUAAUACCUUUCACUUCAUCCAUCUCUUUAUAUCCAAGGCCGUGUAAAAGAGAGCGUAGAAGACGGUGUGCAAAAAGCCCCAAUUGAGAACCAACACCAGGGAAAGGAACGCCUCCUAGACCACCUGCUUCCUCUCCGCAUCCCCUACAGUCUCGCCACUAUCGUUCCCACCAUCUCCACACGGUGAAGGCUAGGGUUUCGGGAUAACUCCAACACGAAGGAGACAUGCAUAGUCGAGACUAGGGUUCUGAGGGUUUAAGUGAGAAAGAUUUGAUUUUUUAGGGAGAAGAAACACAAGGUGAAGUGAAGGUUCGAGAGAGAAGAGAUGGAGUGAAGCGAGAAACGAAAGCUUGAGUGAGGGUACAAGCUCUGAGAGACGAGAGCUCGAGAGAAACGAGAGCUUGAGAGAAGGUUCGAGUGUUGUGAAUUAGGGUUUACAUUUUCAGUACAUUGGGCUUAAUCAAAAUUUAAUUUCUUUUAAAAAUAAUUUUUUAGAUCUGUAUGUAAUAUCAGUAGAUAACAAUUGUUUAACAUUAGAUACGAAUUCUAUAUAUUACAUACGGACAUUUUCCUUAGGUAACUUUCUCGCCAUCACGCACGUGCAUUAUAGACAGAUAUUACAUACAGAUUAUUAUAUACGGAUUAUCCGUAUAUAAAAUCCGUAUAUAAUUCCCUCUUCAAUAUCCGUAUAUAAAAUCCGUAUGUAAUAAUUACAUUACAUAUAUUACAUACGGAUCAAGAUCCGUAUAUAAAAAUUAGUAUGUAAUUCCAAUAUUUCUUGUAGUGCCUCACUAUGACUCUCAUGCUCAAGGAUAUAGGUUGACUUUUUGAAGUGACACUCAUUAGAAUAGUUUCCUCUUGCCCCACAUUUAAAACACCUAGUCUCCCUACCCUUGCUCUCACGGGUUGGUGUUUUGUGAGUCCUAUCUUGCUCUCUUCCUUUAAGGCUCUCAAUGUUUUUUCUUCCCUCUUUUUCUUUGCUUUUUCCUUUAUCUUUUUCUUUCUUUCUCUCUCUCUCUCUCUCUCUCUCUCUCUCUCUUGUAUCCUCAUAUCUUUGAAAACUACCCUCCCUCUUAAGAUCUCUCCUAUAUGAAGAUGUGGUAGGGUAGGUUCUCUUUGUGGAAGCUUUUCUCCUAUUUUGCUCUUUCACUCUCACACAUAACUGGACAAAGUCAUUGAGAUCUAAGUAAGGUAAGAGUUCUACCUUAUCUCGGAUCUCACAGUUUAAUCUGCUCUGGAACCUAGCUAUGGUGAAUCUUUCUUCUUCUUUUAUUCCGACUCUCAACAUGAGUAAUUCCAACUUUUGUCCUCAACACUCAUGUUUCUUUGUUGAAGUCGAUGGAGCUUGUUCAUGACUUCUCUAGCAUAAUAGGAUGGAACAUGCCUUCUAUGUAAGGCAGCCUUUAACUCAUUCCAAUAUUGGAUGGUAUAAUCGCCAUUCGUCUUUUGAUCUCGAAUGAUAGAAGUCCACCAAUAGAUGGUUGCACCUUGGAAGGUCAAGAUGGCUAGGGUCACUCUUUUUUUAUCAUCUAUGUGGUAGCACUCAAAAAUUAGUUCGACCUUCAUCUCCCACUCAAAGUAUUCCUCUACAUUGUCUCUUCCACAAAAGGGUGGAAGGUCAAGCUUGGGUUCCACAUGAUGUUCCCUAUGAAUGUGAUGUCGCCUAGGGGGGUUGGUAGUGAUCAUAAGGAUGAUAACUAUUGUGAUCACUAUGUUGUGAAUGAUCAUCACGAUCAUGGUUUUGCCUAUGAGAGUGAUUCGCUUGGGUUUGCCCUCUUUGAUUGAGAGUGAGGUUGGCUACCAUUUGUCUAAGCUCAUGCAAUUCAGCCUUGGUUCUAUUAAGUUCCUCUCUCAACUCUAUGUUUUCUUGAUCAUGACGAAUGUUACCUUGAACACUAGAGUGACUCAUGCUUGUGAAGUAGAAAAAAUGUUUUCACAAGAGUUUGAAAGCCUUGCACAAGUAUUGAGUCAAAACCUUUUCAAAGACUAUUUGUUUGUUUUUGGUGAAUGACUUCUAGAGAGAUUCUAGAGGUAAAGAAACUGAAUAGCUCCCUGGAAGGAGAGGUGAGACUCAAUGGACAAGCUUAGAAACCUUGUCCUUCCUUAGCCAGAGUGUCUCCUAACGUUUGUUACCCAAGUUUCACUAGAGAAGUCUUUCAAAACUUUCUUUUGAAUGCAUUAUGAUAUGCACCUAUAAACCAAACGAAGGUUUGUCUAUAUGGUAGCACAACUAGCUAUCACGGAGAUGUAAAACAAAAAUUAACAACAAGCAAAAUUAAAGAAAGUAUGUAAAUGAAUGGAAGAAGAACACGACCCUAAGUGAAAGUGCAAGUAACACUUGAAGCUACUUGACACACUUCCACACUAAGAUGCGCAACUAGACUAUUACAAUGUUCAAUGGAGUACUUGGAAUUGCUUGAUAAGCAUUUUCCCAAGCCACUCAAGUUUCAAAAAGAAGAACACAAUUAACUACAAAGGUUCCGUGAUUGGAAGCCAAAUUUACAAAGCAAAUGAUUACAAUAUUGGCAAAGCCAAGUGUGGUUGCAAAGUCAAGUUAAAUGUGAUGGCAUGUCAACUUUUGGGUGUGUAUUUUGCUGCUGAAAAGGGUGUUGGACAGCAAUGUGAAAGUUCUCUUGAAGUUCACUUGUAGCUAUGUUAGCAAGACUUCCACUCCUUAAUAUGCUACCCUUUUAGAAGAGUAAGUUGGAUACUAGAACUCCACCACAAAAGUACCAUAAGCCAAGGCAAAACAACCAAACCGUGAGUGAUUAUAAACACUUGCUACACUAGAUUUUUGAUUGAAAUUAAUGUGACAACAGAUUGGGAAUGCUAAUAAAAAUGAUUUCUAAGCACUUUGGGGCUGGAAGAAAAGAUGGCAAACAAAAGGAACUUAAGAGAGGGUCUAGAAUAUAUUAGAAAAGCAGUUAAAAACUCAAAACAGUGAGUAAAAUUGAAUGUGUUGUAACCGUUUGAUGAAAAUGCAAUAGUGUUUGCUAAAAUGCCACAAAGAAAUACCAAAUUUCUAAUUUCUGUUUUUGGACUUUAGAACUGGAUUGCAGGGGUUGUAUUUGCUUUUUAUGUUUGAUUUACACUUGGCUAAUCAUGUUGAAUUUUUUGAAACAAGAAUCCUCGCUUUUGCCAAUCCAAGGUGAAAAUCAAAUUGGGAAUUGUGCAAACAACAAAGAAUAUGAAACUACAACAUAAAAUAUGUGGCAGGAAAUUGAAAUAACAAUGGUGAAUUUGAAAAACAGUGGCUCAAAUGUGUAGAUGACUCUUCAUACACAACAAUGUCAUCAAAUGAAAUGUGGACAAGCAAUGAAACAGUCAAAAUAUUGUGCAGCACAAAAUAUUAGUGAUUCACUUCCCAAAAUGCACUAAAAUGUAGUGUUUUGGCUUAUGUUUCUCGGCUAAAUGCACAAUUUGACCAUAUGAACAGUGGAGACAAAUUUUAAUUCACCUAAUAUGAUUGCACAAUCAAACAAACAACACUAAUACAUUCAAAAUCUCAAUUUGACUGGUAUACUUGCAAUUUUCAAGGAAAUUUGUGGUUGAAAUGGUGAUUUUGGAUAUUGGCUAGCAAAAGAGCAAUUCAACCGUGCACACAAGUUUGUGUUGACCAAAUACACUUGCACCAACAGUCCAAAAACACAUAAGUACUCAAAUUCACAAAAUCACCAUGGCAAUUGAUACAAUGCAGCAAAAUAUUUUGAAAAUUGCAGCAGAAUUUAAAAGUGUAAAGAAGCAAUGCUGGUUGGAUCAAUAAUCAAUCAAGAAAGGACCUAAUUAACUAGAUCUAGCUUCAGAUUAAUAUGAGCUAGCAGAUUAACAUAUCCUAAGUCACAACAAAGAAGUUAGCACAGUGCAAAGCUGGAAAACAAAACAGAACAGUGCAGUCUCGGGAAAAACUUAAUUUCCAGCAACUCAAGUAUGCUUUUCUAAAAUUAGUGGUUAAUUUGAGCUGUUGCGAGUUGAAACAUGUUUUGAAAAUUAAAGUAAACUUGUGGACCACUUCAGAUUCAAUCAAGCUUGACAGAAACAGAGUGCAUCAUAUGGAAAAAUAAUCAACAUUGAUGUAGAUUUUGAAAUUAAAUUGUUACCAAACUUGAUUACUCAUUUCACAUUCUUGUGAUGCAUGUGAGUUGCAAUCACUUAAGACACAUUUCAACACAUUAUACAAAGUUAGACAAAGCUGAAAACACCAGCAAUAUGGACAAACAUAGAUCUGGACCAAACAACUUCGAAAAACUAGUUUUAUGCAGAAGUUCAACUCGAAAAUAGUGUGUAAUGCAUAGAAGUUCAAAUGAUCAAAGCUGACUUGUUGUUCUUGAUUUAUUCGAUCAACAUAUAGCUUGCAAUACACUUGACUCAAUGAAAAAGAAAAGAAAAAUGAAGUUGAACAUGAAUAAACCAAUUCAACAGUUAAAAACGACAAUUACUUGCACAUGACUAUGAAAAACUUUGAACAAUGAAAUUGAAGGAUGAAUUUGACUCAAACAAAUAAAAAGCACCGAUUAAAAUGAUUGAGGAACCUAAGGAACAAUGAAUGAAUCAAUUAUCCACUCAAACACAACAUCAAAUCACAGAAAAAAUCAAUGAAAUAGUGAUAUAGGAACAGAACAACACUGACAGAAUGCAAAAACUGUUAGCAAAAUGAUGAAGAUGAAGUUUUGAUGAUGUCCAAAUCAAGUCAAGAGAAAUGAAGAUUCAAGAAGAUCUUUGAAGACUUGUUUUGCUGUUAAAAGCUUUUGUAAUAAUUGUAGUUUAUUGUUUAGGACUUAGAUUUUCAUUGGUUUUGAUUCCAUGUACUUUCAUACAUUGUAAUUAGUGUUAAGAGUCAAAAUCGCAUUGUUUUAAUCGAUUAAAACUAGUAUUAAUCGAUUAAAACGAGUAAAAGCUAAAAACUCAACUUUUGCUCUUUUAAUAGAUUAAAGUUAAUUUUAAUCGAUUAAAAGUGACCGUUGGAGUUUUAUAUUUUUGAAAACUAGUCGUUGUACUCAUUUUAAUCGAUUAACACUUGUAUUAAUCGAUUGAAAGCGUUAAAUGGUCAGUUUCGAAGAACGGAAGAGUAUUUGCUUGAGUCUAUAAAUAGGUUCUCAUUUUUCCAUCAAAAGCAACUCUUCCCUUGUGCUAAAAUACUCAGAACUCUUUAAGGAUUGUGUGCUCUUACUCAACUAAGGAAACUCUUGUUUGUGGUGCCGGUACAUUGCUACUACGGUGACAGAGGAAAUAGUCGAUCAUCCUUGGUGCGUCUGAGGAGGUGUUUGGAAAAGGAUCAUCCUUCAUGAAGUAUUCGGAGGCGGUGUUUCAUCCUUUGUGAAGACUCAAAGGAGGUGCAGGUUCAUCUCUUGUGGUAUCAAGAAAGGUCGUUUCUAAACUCUUACAAAUUGUUUCUUUGUGAUUGUAAUUUGUAAUUGUUUUGUGAUUAGUGAACUGUUUAUCUUGGUUUGGGAUAAGCGACUGGACGUACGAUUGGUAAGAUCCGAACCAGUAUAAAAAUCAUCUAUGUAAAUUUCUCUCAACCUUACUCUUUUAUUUAUAUUUGUUAUUUGCUUAGUAAGAUAAAUUGUGAAAAAAUUAAAAGGCACAUGUUUAUAUUAAAAACCCUCUUAGUUUGUUAUUUCACGUUAACCAUUUUGCUGCAGCCGCUCUAACAAAAAUGAAUUAAAAGCUUGACUUGGCUCUCGUGUAGACGCUGUUGGGGUAAAUUGGCAAGUGUACCGAGUCGUACAAGUAAUAUAAAAUGGUAAGACCAAGUAUCGUAUCCAAGAGGACUCGCGGCGUUGAACAGUUGUGUGAAAACAAGAUUAAUUAAGACUGAAAGUAAAAGAGAUCAUGGAUUUAUGUUUCAAAAAGAAUAAAAUAAAAUAAAGUAAAAUUGAUCAAUGGCAAAAGAGUACAGAUGUGAAUGGAGGUUGAUAAUUAUGAGAUGAGUAUGUUGUUGGGGUUAGAUUUCACCAAGUUCCCUCUCAUGUAUAUAAGAAUUUUCUUUUUCUAUUAAUGCCAACGUCCCUCACUAAAACACUUAAAUCCGAUGUCUCAGUAAAUAAGUUUGUCCCUAAUUACCAGUUCAUACAAUUCCUAGCAUUCCUGGUAAAAAGAUGUGAAGAUCAAGAGGUUAAGACGACUAAGACUCAUAUCCUCAUGUCGGAGCAAUAUGACCCUUAGGAAUAAUUUAACAAGGACCUGAAUUGCAAGGAACCUGUCAGAAUUCAUGCAAAUCACAGAUCAUGCUAUUGUAUAAGCAAGCAAUAAGAACAUAUAAAUUACUCUAACAAUUAAUGGAAAAAACAUAUGAAAUUAAGCAUCAAUUCAAAUACAUGAGAGUUUACAAGAAAGAAAGAAGUGUAUUGUUAUGCUCUUCUCUGCCAGGGAUGCAAAAUCUAGAGUCCCAGGGUCCUUUAAAUAAUGCCAGGAGUGUCCCAAAGUGCGGCCCGGUCCAAAAGAAUCAAAUUAGAGCAGAAACAGGGCCCGAUGCACGUCAAAUCUCACUCAAGCGUCGUAAGGAGCUCGUCCGGGCGUGAAUUGAGGGUUCUGUAAGGCUUGGGCGCCAGUUUUGGACGCCUGGGCUUCGAGCAGCCGUUGCCCGGGCGUCGGGUCCGUCGUCCAGGUGAGGACGGUGAUUUCUUCUCGCAAAAUUUGCGCUUCUGUCGCCUGGUGCUCGCCUGGGCUUCGGGUUUUCUCCCUUCUUGGUGCCAUUUUGACCCCUUUUGAGCUCCGUCUUCAUGGCUUUUCAUUUCUUCUUCCAUUAUUGCUUCAAUCUCUGUUAGAACAAGGGGAAUUUGUUAGAAAAAAGUUAAAAUCAACCUCAACUCUCUUAUUCACACAAUUUACUAAAAACGUAUGAGUUCAAGCAAGUUUCUAAGUCAAAAAUGGUGUUUUUAGUAUCAAAAUCAUACAUCAAAUAACGGUAUUUCAAACCGUUAUCAGACGCGCGGACGUGCUGGCUCUUGAUGCCAAAUGAUGGAAGCAGCUUCACCAAUCACAGAGAAGUGCUCCUCAAUGCAGAACAAUGCAGUGGAUCUUGAGAGGAUGAAUGGAGUUCGGAUGCAUGAUAGGUGUUUGAUGGAAUGCGCGAGGUGUUUGGUGAUGGUAUAGAAGUAGAAUUCUAACUCAGUAGGCUUUCCAAAGGGGAAAAGAGCUAGAGGAAGUGCAAGAUAACAAGGCACGAGGUUGAACUCGAGAGUUAUGGCUGUAAUUCAGCAACAUGACAUUAACUAAACUCAAGUUGAUGUGUACAAGUGAUGAAGCUCUCUUUUAUAGGAGAAGAAGAGCUAUCAAUUGUGCAAUGCAAGCUAAAUAUCGUGCUUAUUGAAAAUGUGAUGAAAAACUAGUGGUAGCUUAUGGAAGAAGCUUGUCCAGCUAGCCACAAGUUCAAUAUGAAACACGUGCUUGAGAAUGAAGAUGCUACCUUGUCGCUGCUGAGCGGUAGCAAUCAUGUCGCUGAGCGCUAUCGAGCAAGGUCUCCACCUUAAGCUCCUUUGCUCCUCCUUGCUUGGUUAUUUUCACCUAAGGGUUUUCCAAUCUUUGUUAAUGACCUACAAACUGUUGGAAUACAGGUAGACUUCUUUUUUACACCAAAAGGGAGGUGAAUUGGUGUUGUUUCAAAAAUUAAAAUCUUUUCGCAAUCUUGAAAACAAAGAUGAAACUUUUUGAACUUUCUUGAAAUGCAAGUAAUGAAAAUUUGUAAGCCAAAACCAAAAUAUAAAUCUAACCCAAAACCAAAAUAUAGGCAGAAAACCAACAAGACUUGCAGCAAGAAUCCCCUCUUCUGUAAUCUGCUAACCACUCUGAACAAUCCUCAGACUGAACUAUCCCCUGUAUCACAACAGGUCCAAAACCAACAGUCUCCACGGCUGCCAAGCCAUCAAAUCAAUUCAGCAGUCUUCAAGGAUGUCAAGCUUCAACAUGAUCAAACGCAUAACACCUUCUUUGUGCAGAUGUUGAUCAACCAAUGUAUUGUUACCAAUAAGGGAGUAUUGGUAAAACCUGAAGACAAGUUUUGAUGAUUCUGCAAAUUGUAAUUCUUAUUUGUAAUAGGAGAAUACUUAAAAAGCAACUUAUAGUUUUUGAAUGUAGCAGGAAAAUGAUAAACAUUGUAAUUUCUACUGGUAUAAUCGAUUAUGGACAAGCUAUAAUCGAUUAUCAUAUGUUUUUGAACUACAAUAAUCGAUUAUCAUGAAGCAAUAAUCGAUUAUCACAAGUCUCACUUGAAUAAUCGAUUAUCACUUCAAAUAAUCGAUUAUCACUUUUUGAAUUUUCUAUAACGGACUUGAAUAAUCGAUUAACUUUAGGCUGAACUUGCAAAGGGAUGCAUACGCUGGAAUUGGGGCACUGUUGGAAAUUUUAAAUGGAACCAAUUCCGCUGAAAUUAGGCCUGCAUUGUAAUUGAUGUUGUGCGUUUUGAAGGUAGCAAAUUUAGCUGAAAGGGAAAUGGGCAAAUUCUUAUUGGGCCAUUAGAUGAUUUGAAUCACAUAUGUUGCUGUUAUGCUUGGUCUGCUACUGGGAUUGGGUCAGCUCUCCUUUAGUGAAACGUUGCGUUUUAGAUGUUGUCAUUGGGGGUCUCAGAUUUGCACAUCAUUUUGGCAAAAUGAAGGAAGCUUUCGUGCAUUUUUGUUAAGUCCCUGGCAAGUGUACCAGAUCGUUAUCAAGUAAUAUAAAAUAGGUAAGUCCAAGUAUCGUUUCCCAAAGGACUCUUAGGCCUUAACUUUCGUGUAACCUAAUUGCGUAAGACUUGAGAAGAAAUUGAUUUUAUGUUUUUAAAUGCAAAAACAAAAGUAAACAUGCAAAUGCAGUGAAUCAAUGGUUGAGGAAAAACUAUGGAUGAAUGGUGUUGUUGGGGUUUACAAUUUCAUCUUAUCCACCCUCAUAUAUCUAGUCUUCUUAUUUAAUUCGCUUAUUUAUCAUAUUGCCAUGCAAACUUUCUUAGUCUACCCUUAACCCAAUUCCUUGACGAAAAGAACCUAUUACUAAUUACCGGCUUGUUAUCCCUAGCCUCCCCUAGUAACUAAUAAUGCAUAAUAAACGGAAGAAAAAUACAAUUGAUCAUCCUACCCCUAUCCCUAGGCGGUAUUAGCAUAAUCAAAGAAUUCCCCCCAGUUCAUGACAUUACUGUACGUUCCCAUAUCAAUAAAGACAAACAACAUUUACCGAAUGAGUUAAACGAUGAAAGCAUUAAAUACAGGUAAGGAACCCAAUAAUUGAUAAAUCAAGCAUAUACAAGCAUAUGAAUUAAAUAAGAAUUUGGAUAUAUGAGAGUUUCAAAAGAUUACAUUGUUCCCCAACAACAAAGGGUUUAGUUCACCAUUAUCAUGGUGAAACUAGAUGAAAUACAAUGGAAGAAUGAAAGAAUAAACCCUAGAUUGAGUAGUUUGGAGCCUAAGCAUCCAAAGAACGGCCUCCAAGGUGUGUAGAGCUGCUGUGGACGUUUCCCUCUGCCAAAAAUUAUGUUUUAAAUCACACUGGGUCUAUUUAUAAACCAAAAAGAUAACAGAAAGAUUACAAAAUCUGAGAUAAUAAAAAUAGACAAUCACUUAGGCGCCUAAGUAUACCGCUUAGCGGUUUCCCUUUAGUUGUUGGACCGCUGAGCGGUCAGUUUUGCCACUGAGCGGUUUGCCCCUAAUCGUCCUAGACGCUCAGCGGUCUAUUCUGACGCUCAGCGGUCCCUUUAACUCUUCUUUUCAUCCUUUUUCUUCAUCUUUCACGACUCUAUGUCCACCUUGAUUUACUUCCUUCUUUAGUUCUCAUCAAAACCUUGCAAAACAAUGUAAAAACAAGCAUAAUAUCUCUAAAACCAACUUUUGACUCUCUCAUGACUCAACGAAGUGUUUUACUUGAUUUUAAGCUCAUUCUAAGCCAUAAAGGGUGUGUUUUGAUAUCAAAUUUAAGUAUGAAAAUAACGGUUUUUAGACCGUUAUCAAUUUCAAGAGAAGAAAAGAACCCUCGAGCUAGGGCUUAUUCGAGUGAGAAGAGGAGAACUCCACUGGAUGCGCGCCACUGACCAGAGACCUGACCGACAUCUUGACCGGAGCUGACUGAUGGAAAUGAAGAGUUGAUCAGAUGGCUGGAAGUGGAGCUGACGUAGGAAGAAAGAUGACCGUCCGAUCAGAACCUCAAUGCGUCGAGAGCAAGUUUCCUCUUUCCCUUUUCCCCUUUCAUUUUCUUUUUCUUUUAUUUUCUUCAGACCCUAUAAAAAGGGUGCUCUACCAUGUAAAUAGAACACUUUAGAGACUCUUAGACACACAUUUUACUUUACUCUACAAUUUACGUUCCUUAGAUUAGGGUUUUACUCGCUUUUGUAGAGUAGGGAUUUUGUUACUAGAUCUCACGGAGGAAUUCACGAGAGUGACAGAAGUGAGUUUUCUCUGUUGAUUCUGGUAUGUUUGUAAUAUAGUUCUUUUUUUUAUUCUAAUAAAUCGUUGAUGUUGCUUUCGGUUUCUUGUUUCAGUUUCUAUUCUCAUGCUUUUCCAUUCUGUUCUUAUUCAGUUUUUGAUUUUUGUAAUUGUUUUGUUUUGAAAAUUGAAUUGGACUCUGAUUCUCUACAUUCUAUGAUUCCUUUUGGAAUUAAAUGACUCUAUAUUGAGCAUUUUUUACCGAGAUGUCUUCUCGAGAUAGAGAAGAGUCCAAUACAUAAAGAUUCAUCAGAUUUAUUUUUCUCUUUCUACUGUUUCCUUGUGCAUGUUAUUGUGUGCUGUUAUUGAACCGUGUUUGAGAAUUGUGAAGGAAAACAUCCACAAUAUUACAUUUGUUUGGAUGUAAUAGGACCCUGGAUUGGGCCUAGAUUUUCAAGAGGUCUUCUUGAGAGAUGUUAAGCUUCAUAAUAAUCAAACUAAGUUCAAUUUCAGUCUUGUAUUUUCUUUCUUGUGAAAAUGUGCAUUGGUUGGACAAAUUAGUGGAAAGAGUCAUUUCAAGGUUCUGAAAUAUGAACCUGAAUACCCUGGAUUGGGAUUCACUUAACAGGAUGUCUUCCUGAGAACUCUAAGCACUCUUUUAUUCAAUCCCAAUGUGUAUUUCACCCAUGAAUUCAAUUUUGUUUUGAGAUUUUUAAUUGUUUUGAUAGUAAUAGACUUUGAUUCGAUUUUGCUUUCUUAGGAUUGUAAUUAGUUGAUUUGUGCAUGUUAUAUUCUCUUAUUUGAUGCUGUUUUAAAUCUGCAUAGUUCAUUUAGUUCUUGAUUUCAGUUUUAGUUGAUAAUACUUCUUACUCUGAUUCUUUGGUUUUGAUUUUCCUAUGAAUAUAGACUGGAUACAUUAGCUUACAUUUUAUUUUUCUUCUUUUCUUUUAAAACAAAUUUAUUUUCAUUUGAUUUCUUUAUUCUUUUCUUUUUAAUUUCUUUGUUUAAUUUCUUUUCUCCACCCUGUUUGUUAAUUAGUUAGUAGUUAGUAAGUAAAUAAUUACAAGAUUCUAACCAUACACUUUAGACUUAAUCAUAGUUGAGUCCUUGGAUUGAUCAUUGGUUAUCUCUCUACUACAUUAGUGGAGAAACUGAGUUUGUUGGCUUUGAUACGACUAAAAGUGAAUUUAACAUCGAGUUAAAUAUUUUUAAAAUAAAACAUUAGUUAAAAGAGAAAUUAAUUUACUUUAUCCAAACUAGAAAAUUGAAAUUUAAUAUAUUUUAAUUAUUCUAUCCAAAUAAACUAUUUAAAAAAAAUGAAAGAAAAUUGAAUUGUAAGCCAUUCAAAUAACAUGUAUUUUAAUUAAUUGGAAUUGUUAAUUUUUUUUAUCUAAAUACAAGGUAAUUGUCAAUAGCUUGAUUGAGUAAAUUGAAAUUUACGAGGUAUUCAAAGAGAUUGCUUCAUUGCUUGAGCUCGAAAUAAUUGAUGGUUCAAAAGGUGGGUGAUACGAAGUAGCUAAAAGAAGAAAAAGAAAAAAAAAAAAAAAAGUGGGGAAAUUAAGACCAAGAUUCAGGAGAGAGAGAAAAAAAAAAAGAGGGUGAUCUUGACUAGUCACGAGACAGAUCAAAUCAUGAGAAAUGGGCACAUGAUGAAUGAGCAAUUGGCACCAUCCCAUCUCAGUUUUUCUUUUGGGGGCCUCCUUUGAUCACAGCAAAUGCACACCAUGUCUUACACCAUCUCUAAUCUCACUUUUUAUCACCACUCCAAAUUCUCCUAAAUUUCAGCACAGCGGAAACACACCCACAUGGCCAAAAUAUGCAAAGUACCUUGCUGGCUGUACCAGAAUUUUGUAGAAAUUGGUCAAUUUUUAACCAUGGCUUCUUGUUUUUCUCUACAUGGGUUGUUGCCCUUAAUCUUGGUCCAAUUCAUGGACUUGACUGCGACCUUCGACCACUAUGCACCACACCCAACCAUAUCUUCACAUGUCAAAUGAAACAAAAAGUCCUCCCAACAUAUCCCUCUUCUUUCAAUGUCAAACCCAUUUCACUUUUCCUUCAAAACCCACAUUCAACAUAAACUACAGCUGUUUCUAGCUUUUAUUUUCAACAUAAACACAAUCAUAACAUAUAUCUAUUGAAAUAGAUUAAUCCUUACAUUACAAACUUGCAGUUACAUUGGGUUUUAGUUCUGAGAAGAAGUUUAACAUUGCAUGAAAGACCCUAUAAGAGGUAGAUUAGAAAGUUUGAAUAUUGCACAGUAAUAGAUAAUGGUUUGCAAAGACCAAGCAUGUGUUAGUAUUAUCAAUGAAAGAGGGUGAAAAUGAAGUUCAAAGAACCGAUGUGUGAGAGUGGGUGGUGGGCAUUGACAUUGGAAGGAAAAAGACAGGAACAUUUAGCGGCGAAUUGUCGGGUUUGUGUGGCAAAAGAGGCAUUGGUAGUCUACAUCCUUGUGCUAUGGAAAUGGACGACAUUGGCUGUGCCAAAUGAAUUGUCCCAUUACAGGAUUUUUGGCAUCUUUCUAUCUUCUAUGCAUAACAUAUAUAUGUAUGGUAUUUAUGACGGUUGAUGGAUUUCUAAGAUAAAGUAGAGAUCACAAGCGUCAUCACAGUUUCAUGUUGCCUCAAAAACCUUGACUGGUGAAGGGUGACAAAGACCAAGUUGGUGCAUGCCUUUUGUUUCAGACUCAUUUCAGACAUUUAUUUUAAGUUGGUGACGCAACCACAACGCGUUGCAGACAUAACUCUGUUGCCACGUUCUUCCUUAUUCACAAGCACCUAUUUUACAACUUUACACUCAACAAAAAAUAAUAAGAAAAACAUCCUCACCGAUUUUAGGUUUAAUUUAUUCUCCCUACUUUAUAACUUUGAUCUUGAUGCGCAUUACGUGAAUUGCAGUUAAUUAUGGUGCCAUGAAAAGUUAUAAUAUAUGUUAAUGUUUGUCAUUUUCUCAAUCUGAUAAAAAACAUAGAUGAAUUAGAUUUUUAGUUCCUUAAUUUAUCUCAUGUAAUCCAUAAUCCAUGUGAGUCAAGAAUGAGAUUCGAUAAAAUGUUAAUUGGGUUGAUCUAUUUACAUAAUUUAUUAAUAUUAUAUUGUUUGUUCUCAUUGUCUUUCAUUAACACUUUUUUCUUUUCUUUCUUUACUACAUACAUAUGCCUUUCUUAUACACCAUGUUUACUUUUCCUUGUUUUGGUCCACUUAAGGAAGGAUACUAAUUAACAACCAGAUAAACCGAUGGAAUUAUAUCUUAGUUGAUGGAAACUAGAAAAUAAUGUUUUAAAUCAAAGAAGAAAUUUAGAAGAACUAUCAAAAAGAGAAAAAGGUUCUCAUAAUUAGGGAGGACUAUCAUUUUCACCAUUUUAGUGUAAUUUCAUCUUAGAAAUUAUCGUAAGUUUUGAAAAAUCAGUAUAUGGAUAAUUCAUAUCAAGUUGACAAGACUUUAUAACGAAGAAUUCGUAUCAAACUGAAGUGACUCCACUACAAAGAAACUAAAGUUAUGUCAAGUAAUGAUGACUUUUAUAAAAAAAGCUUAUCUAAAAAUAAAAUCGUCACAACUUGAGAUGACUUCAAUUCUGGAAUGAAAAGAACCGAAGUCAUGCCAUGUUGUAACUAUUUUAAUUUCGAAUAAAAUGAACUAAAAAUGUGUCAUGACGACUUCAGUUAUGAAAAAAUGAAAUUGUCAUAGCAUGACAAGAGUUCAGUUCAUUUAAUUUAGAACUGAAGUCAUCAUAGUAUGAUAUGACUUCAGCUCAUUUCAUUCUAGAACUAAGGUCGUGUCAACAAGGAAUGACUUUACUUUUAGAUCACUUUUCACAAAUGUUAUCAUAAAUUGACACGACUUUAGUUCAUGUGCAAUGAAGUCGCUUCAGCUUGGCACAAUUUAUUCAUUAUGAAGUUGUGCCAAGCUAACACAACUUGCCCAUAUGUGAUUUUUUUUUUAAAGUUGCACUAUUGUGAUAAUUUCAAAAUGAAAUUACACCAAAAUGAUGAAAAAUCCAAACUCUCUCAUCUUCAUGAUAAUACAAAUUAUAUGAAGAUUAGCAAAAUUUGUGUCAGUAAUAUUGUUUUACUGUUUUUGGAUAGAUAGUGAAAAAAACUAUGUUUGCACUAACGCCUAAAAAGCCUUCCACGAUUGUUAUUAAAGAAUUGUUAUGGAAAACCACGUGGUGGAAAACUUGUAAUUAUUGUGUGAGUUUUAAGAUGGUUAAAUGUAUAACUGUCAUCGUUUUCAAUUUUAGCGAUGAGUUUAUGUAAAAACCGUCAUCGUUUCUCUAACGGGCCAUAUACAACAAAGGUUGGGAGUAAAAAUCGUUGUUAUUGUUUUGUGUCAACUAAAGACAUUUUUUCUUCCAUUGUUUUCUUGACAUCAUGGUGCAUUUCAUUAUUCAUCUUAUAAGAGAAAUCACAUUGUGUGGGUUAAUUUAUCUAUGAUGGAUGUACCUAGAAGAUGAUAAUAGAAAAGCUUAAAGCAUGUUUUGUAUCUAACGAUGACGGUAGUAAUGCAAAUUCAAUUCAAUAUCUAUUUCCACCAUCUCGCUUUAAGAAAUGGAAGCGACCCUAUCUUAAAAAGUUGAGAGCAUGGACUUAUAAAGAAUCACAACAGGUAUAUAAGCGAAUUGUAAAUAAACACGUUUCAAUACUUUAUAUUAAAACUUGUUAUUCAAUUAAAGUCUUUUAAUUAUAAAUGAUUUCUUGUUGUAGGACUCUCUAGUUAAGUAGCAAACCGAGACGGUUUCAAUCCUCAUGGUUAAGAGGAUUGACUUAGUAGAGCAACUAAGAGAGAAAAUGAGAGAAGGAUGUGAGUAGGUCAGACAAAAGCGAAAAGAGAUGAGAUAAGAGUGGCAAGCGAUGAUGGAAGCAUUUGAAAAACAACUAGAAAGCUUACUACUCUCGCAAAACCUAUGUAAGGAUGACAACGGAUCAGAACGCAGACCUAUUUUGCUAUCUCAUACUCAUCUUUAGAGAGAAAAAAGUCAUAUUUAUGCCCAUAAACAAACUUAACGAGUUUCAAAUUUUUGUCUCAUUCCAUCCCCUUCGGAUAACAGGUAUACACUUGUAUCUGUAUUUAUUUUUUAUUAUUUCAAUAUCAAUUAAUUAAUUUUUAUAAAAUUAUAAUAAAAAAUUACGAUAAAUGAAUAUAAUAUUAUCAAAUAUUCAAUAUAAAAAAAAUAUUCUCGUUUUAGAAAGAAAUUAUGAUUAUAUGCAUUUAAAAAUAGAAUAUCAAACAAAAUUUAUUGAGAACUAAAAUAUUUAUUAAAUUUACAAACGUUAAUGAAACCUAGUUAAUAAAAUUUAAAAAUAUUUUUAAAAAAUAUAAAAGAAAAAAAUUAAAAUUAAAAAUAUUUUAUGUCUCUUUAUUUCAGAUUUUCAAAUUUUAAUGAAUUUUUUAUAUAUAUACUAGUAAAAAUUAUAAUACAUCACUUAAUAAUAAUCACAAAAAUAACAAAAGAUUAAAUUAAUAAUAGUUGAAAUUUAACAUAGAUUUUUUAUCUUUGGAACUUCAAUCUAUCUUAGAUAGUGAUAAAAAAAUCAAUGACAGUUAUAUUAAAUUAUUAUAUUAUAGUAAAUAAAAUGUAUUUAUAUAAUUAUAGCAAUAAAAUUAAACUUAUGAUAAUGAGUUAGAAAAUAAAAAUAAUUAUAUAUAAAACAAUAUUUUACAUGAUAAAAAUGUUUAAAACAAAAUCAAAUGCGUGUCAUAGAAACAAUUUGAUAUACCAUUGAAUGAAAUAAAAAAAAAUAUAAUUAAGAGUAUAAUAAGAUAAAAAAUAUCUUAAAAAUCUGGGAAAUCUUUUCAUAUAUGAAUCUAGUCGAACAAUUGAGAGAUAACGAAAAUUAUUAUAACGAAAGAAAAGAGUUCUUCAAAUGUAACAAAACUUAAUUAUAAGAGAAUAAAUAAGAUAAGUAUUUUUAUAUUACCUAGUAAAUAAAAUGUUUAUACUAUUGAACACUUAAAUUGAGAGUUAAACUGUGAAUAAAAUAUGCAAUAAACAAUAUUAUUAGAAAAUAGUAAAAGUAUUUAAAUUUGAGAUAUAAAAAAUAUUUAAUUGACAACAUCAUUUAAACAUAAUUACACUUGUAACAAGAGAAAACAUAUCUUAGAGGUAUGAAUCAAUUUCAUGACAAGCUAAAGAACGAAAAGAAAUAUAUAUAUAUAUAUAUAUAUAUAUAUAUGGGGUUUGCUAAUUUGUGUACGCUUAUUUUUCAGUUGGUACAUUUUAGCAGUGUGUACUGAGUUUUAGUAGACAAAAAUAUUCUAAUAUAUAAUGGAUUAUAAGUUUUAAGGUUAAGGGUAUUUUAAUAAUUUUCAUUUUCAAAACUAAAAAAAAAUGAAACUCCAAACCCUUGCUCACAUCUCUCGUUCUUCUCAAUCCUUUUUCUUUCAUCUCUCUUACUCUAACCUUUUUUCUCUCAUCACUAUUGUAGCCCCAACUGAAAAAACACUUGUUAAACAAUUUACUUUUGUAGAAAGUUGAGUCAUUGACAUAUUCGCCUUCAGGAAAGGAUUAGUUCAAGAUCUCUUUAAUUUCAUCAUCUUCACUAACCUUUAUAAUUUCAUCAUCUACGGAUGCUGAAUCAUCAUCUCUAAAAAACCUUUCACACCAAUUACCGAUUCCUCCAAAUGUCAUCAUGCUUGUGAAAUUUAGAUAAAAUUAGAUAAGACAAAAAUUAUAAAAUGAAAACUCAUUAUAAAAUCAUUUUGUGUAAGAAAUUGUUUAUUAGCGAGUGUUUAUGAUUUUUUCCAGGCCAAUUACCAAUUCAUUUGGAUGUCAUUAUGCUUGUGAAAAUUAGAUAAAAUUAGAUAAGACAAAAAUUAUGAAAUGUAAACUCAUUAUAAAAUCAUAUUUUUUUUUCUAAGAAAUUGUUUAAUUGCGAGUGUUUCGGAUUUUUUUAGUUGGAGAUACAGUACCGAUGACAAAGAAAAUGUUAAUGUUAGCGUGAGAGAGAUGAAAGAAAAAGGGUUAAGAGGAAUAAGGGAGGUGAACAAGGGUUUGGGUUUUUUUUUUUUGUUUUUUAAGUUUUGAAAAUAAAAAUUAUUAAAAUACCCUUAACCUUAAAACUUAGAAUCUAUGAUAUAUUAGGGUAUUUUUGUCUACUAAAAUCCAAUAAACACUACUAAAAUAUACCAACUAAAAAUAAACUACUACUAAAAUAUACCAGCUGAAAAAUAGACGUACGCAAGUUAUAACAAAUCCAUAUAUAUAUAUAUAUAUAUAUAUAUAUAUAUAUAUAUAUAUAUAUAUAUAUAUAUAUAUAUAGGGGUUUGCUAACUUGCGUACGCCUGUUUUUUAGUUGGUACAUUUUAGCAAUGUGUACCGGGGUUCAGUUGACAAAAAUAUCCUUAUAUAUCAUGAAUUCUAAGUUUUAAGGUUAAGGGUAUUUUAAUAAUUUUCAUUCUCAAAAUUAAUAACUAAAAUAAAAAAAGAAACCCCCCAAACCCUUACCCACCUUUCUCAUCCCUCUCAACCCUUUAUCUUUUAUCUCUUUCACUCCAACCUUUUCUUUUCUCUGUCAUCUUUACUCUAACCCCAAUUGAAAAAAAAUAUCAGAAAUACUCCCUUAUUUUAAUAUUUUUCAUUCUCAAAAUUAAAAAAAGAAACCCCAAACCCUUACUUACCUCUUUCAUUCCUCUCAAUCCUUUCUCCUUCAUCUCUCUCACUCAAACAUUUUCUCUGUCAUCUCUGCACUAGCCCCAACUN